GUUCUCCACAAAAAGUAUUUCAGUGUUCCUGCUACUGUCUGGAGUCUGGGUAUAGUCCUUUAUGAACUGUCCAUGGAGAAUUGCCCUUCAUGAGCGAUGAGGAGCUUAUUGAUGGACAACUGGACUUCCAUUCUGAUGUGUCUGAUGAGUGCUGCUAUCUGAUUCACCUCUGCCUGGAACAGGACCCUUCUUCUCGGCCAGAUUUCAGGAAAAUCCAGACCCACAAGUGGUUUAAGAAGGAAAGUCGGGACUCGGUCCAAGACCCCCCUGCUGACUAGGAUCUGGUAACGGCAGGCAGGCAGGCAAUCACCCCCACAUACUCCCAGUGACCGACUCUGUCAGACCUUCUUAUGUUAGUCUCCUCCUGCAGGGUCGGUGUACUCCAGCUGAUUCUCUAAUGGGAGCUGUUGUUCUGACCACUUCACACUUAGAAAGAUCCCAGAAUGCCUCUCUGUCAUCAGCACAAGGCCUGAGUGCUCAACUGUUGAAGCACAAGGUCAUGCUGUGGCAGAUGUUUGCUGCUGUUCAAAGUCAAAAAAGUCAAAGUCAAAGAAGCUUUGUCACUUCAACCAUAUAUAGCAGAUGCAGUACACAGUGAAGUGAAACAACAUUCCUCCUAGACCAGAGGUGCUACACAGAACACAGACAAAGUACAGUGAUGGAGACAAACAUAGAGCUAUAACACAGAGAUAAAAAAAAAAACUAAACUAUACUUAAGGUGCAAUAAAAACUAAACUUUACUUAAGAAAUAAAACUAGACAUAAAACAGAAGUGCCCAGGAUGACAAGACAAGACAGUGCAGACAAACAACAUAUAGACUGACUUUUGUGCAAAUAAGUGUAUACAGUGAGUGCAAAUAUUGACACAUGUAAACUGGAUUAAUAUAAAAAAUGUAAAGUGAAAUGUAGUGACAUGUGCGUGCAAACAGGACAAUUUAGUGCGUGUGUGAGUACGUGUCCAGCACAGUUCAGUUCUCCUGUUGAGAUCAGAUCUUGGUUGUGUGUGUGUGUGCACGCAAGUGCGUGUGUGUGUCCAGCUCAGCUCAGUUCUCUGUUGAGAUACCUGAUUGCCUGGGGGAAGAAACUGUUUAACAGUCUGGUUGUGCGGGUCCGAAUGCUCCGGUACCUCUUUCCGGAUGGCAGAAGGGUGAAGAGUGUGUGAGGGGUGUGUGGGGUCAUCCACAACGCUGUUAGCUUUGCGGAUGCAGCAUGUGGAGUAAAUGUCUGUGAUGGAGGGAAGAGAGACUCCGAGGAUCUUUUCAGCUGUCCUCACUAUCUGCUGAAGGGUCUUGCGAUCCAAGAUGGUGCAGUUCCCAAACCAGGCAGUGAUGCAGCUGCUCAGGACACUCUCGAUGGUCCCUCUGUAGAAGGUGGUCAGGAUGGGAGGUGGAAGAUGAGCCUUCCUCAGCCUUCACAGGAAGUAGAGAUGCUGCUGGGCUUUUCUGGUGAUGGAGCUGGUGUUGAGUGACCAGGUGAGGUCCUCCGCCAGGUGAACACCAAGGAAUUUGCUGCUCUUGACGAUCUCCACGAUGUUCAGUGGAGAAUGGUCAAUCUUUGUUCUCCUGAAGUGAACAACCACCUCUUUAGUCUUGUCAACGUUCAGAGACAGGUUAUUGACUUUACACCAGGCUGCUAGUUGUUGCACUUCCUCUCUAUAUGCUGACUCAUCAUUCUUGCUGAUGAGAUCCACCACAGUCGUGUCAUCGGCGAACUUGACUAUGUGAUUGGAGCUGUGCAUUGCUGCACAUUCGUGAGUCAGCAGAGUGAACAGCAGUGGACUGAGCACACAGCCCUGAGGAGCUCCAGAGUUCAGUGUGGUGGUGCUGGAGGUGCUGUUCCCGAUCCGGACUGACUGAGGUCUUCCAGUCAGGAAAUCCAGGAUCCAAUUGCAGAGGGAGAUGUUGAUGCCCAGCAGACUCAGCUUCUCGAUCAGGUGCUGAGGAAUGAUCGUAUUGAAUGCUGAAUUGAAGUCAAUGAACAGCAUUCGUAGGUAAGUGUCUUUAUUGUCCAGGUGUGUGAGGGCCAGAUGGAGGGUUGUGGUGAUGGCAUCAUCUGUGGAGCGAUUUGGACGAUACGCAAACUGCAUGGGGUCAAGUGAAGGUUGCAGCAGGUUCUUAAUGUGCCUCAUAACGAGCCUCUCGAAGCACUUCAUGAUGAUGGGUGUGAAUGCAACGGGACAGUAGUCGGUAAGACAGGACACUGGAGACUUCUUUGGCACGGGGAUGAUGGUGGUUGACUUCAGGCACGUUGAAACGACGGCGCUGCUCAAGGAGAUGUUGAAGAUGUCCGUGAAGACAUCUACUAGCUGUUCUGCACAUUCCCUGGUCACUCUGCCAGGAAUGUUGUCUGGUCCAGCAGCUUUCUGUGGGUUUCUGUAGGUUCCUUGCUGUCACAUCAUUUCAUGCCUCGAACUGAGCAUAUAAGCUGUUCAGCACAUCUGGAAGGCAGGCAUCACUGUUACAGGCAGGUGGAGCUGGCCUGUAGCUGGUGAUGGACUGGAUGCCUUGCCACAUGCGCUGAGUGUUGCUGCUGCUGUGGAAGUGGCAGUGAAUUCUCUGGGAGUGUGCACGCUUUGCCUGUCUAAUGGCUCGAGACAGUUUAGCCCGUGCUGUUCUUAGGGCAUCCUUAUCUCCAGUUCUGAAGAGUCUCUGGAUCUUAGCAGCGCACACACCUUUGCGGUCAGCCACGGCUUCUGGUUGGAGUGUGUGAUGAUGGACUUGGAGACAGUCACGUCAUCGAUGCACUUCCUGAUGUAGCCGGUCACUGAUGCCAUGUACUCCUCCAAGUCAAUAGUCUCGCCGUUGGUUGCAGCCUCCGUAAACAUGUCCCAGUCAGUGCACUCAAAACAGUCCUGAAGAGCAGAGAUGGCUCCUGCUGGCCAGGUUUUAAUCUGUUUCAGAAGCGAUUUAGAGCCUCUGACGAGUGGUCUGUAUGCUGGAAUCAACAUAACAGAGAUGUGGUCUGAGUAGCCGAGGUGGGGCUCCCCACGAUACGCGCCGGGAAUGUUUGUGUAAACAAGAUCCAAGAUCAUCCCUCUCGUAGCAAAGUCCACAUGUUGAUGGAAUUUAGGGAGCACUGUUUUGAGAUUUGCAUGAUCUGCGAUGAUAAACAGUCCAUCGGGGUGAACAUUCUGCAGCUCGCUAAUAGCUCCGUAGAGCUCACACAGAGCCUCCUUAGCUUUAGCGCUGGGUGGAAUGUACACUCCGAUAAUGAAAGUAGUGGUGAAUUCCCAGGGUAAAUAAAAAGGUCUGCAUCUAACAGUCACAAACUCCACUAGCGAUGAACAGUAACUAGAGACAAGCACAGAGUCCUUACACCAUUCCGUGUUGAUGUAAACACACACACCACCACCGUGAGUCUUACCACACAGAGCUGCGUUUUUGUCGGCACGAAACACAGUUAGCCCGGCUAGCUGAAUGGCGGCAUCCGGAACUCUGUUGCUGAGCCACGUCUCCAUGAAAACAAAGACACAGCAGUCUCUGUACUCACGCCGUGCAGUUCGCUGGAGUCGGAUGUAGUCCAGUUUAUUAUCCAGGGAGCAGACAUUCGAUAGAUGUAUGGAGGGGAGUGCCGGUUGGCUAGGGUUUGUUUUUAGCCUAGCACAGACACCUGCCCUAUUUCCGCGCUUCCGCUUUCUCGCACACCGCUUCCGUCGACUCUUCUCCUGGCUACCAGCAUCAGGUGAUGCCAAGGGCUUGGGGCCUGGUCUCCGCAGCAAGCCGAGAUCACGAAGCUUUCACGUUGUCUGGUGCACGAUUCCCAUAAUCCAGUAGCGUCUGGCGGUCGUACACAUGAACACCGUUGUAGCUGGUGUCCAUAUGCCGUUAAAGUCGGGCUAUUUCGGGACAAUAGCACCAUUUUUGGUCCGGAGUGGCCGCUGCAUGCUACUGCCGCGCCGCCAUCUUGGGACAAAAAGUGUUGUGUGUUUGUGUGUUUUUUCAGGACCUGUGAAUGCACCUCCCUCCUGCAGCUGUGAUGGAGAACCAGAUGUUUGCUGCUGGUGUCGUUGGCAUCAUCUCCGGUGGCCAGAUAUAAAAGGAACGCAUUUCUACGGGAUUCUAACCUCAGACGUCACUACAUUCUUAAACGCUACUCAGACAGUCGCACAGUUAUGCAUGCAGGGGGAGGAGUCUGACUUGAACAGACGGGUUUCUCUGUUUACAUCAUUAACAAUAUUGAAAAACAAUUAAUAAAAAAAUGUUAAAACUCAAAUUGUGCAGUUAUUGAAAUACAUAAACAGGAAUAUUUUCACAUUUCAUUUGUCCUUUAUUUAUUUUCAUCUAAUCACACACAAUCCUUUAACACUGAAAUAUUUAAUUAAACAUAAUGGGAUUAUGGAGCAUUGAGAUAAGAGGCUGAAAGUCACAUGGUGUAAAAACUGAUUAAACAAUGUGUAAAGAAAGAGAAUUCUUCAUGGUUUUAUUUAUUUAUUAGCAUUGUUUUGGAAAAAAAGAUUAAAUUAGUCUGAACUAGUCUGCACAGACACACACACAAACAAGAAGAAUGUUUAAUUACUUCACAGCAGGCAAACAAAAUAAAAUCCACGCUUUCUUACUCUACUCAAAAGCCCCAAAUUGGAGCAGCAAUGAAGUCAUGGAGCGCCAACCAAAAAAUCAAACCAAAAAGUGUGGUUACUGUGGCAACCAGGCUUAUGGUCGCUCUGAGAUAUUGCCCUGCAAAAAGCAUACAAUGUGCCAAAUACGGAAAGUGCAACCACUUUGCCAAAGUUUGUCGCUCUGCUUAUAAAAAGCAUGUCCACAUAGUAAACAAAAAGGAGACUUGCUAUAUUAAUGAUGACGACUUUUUGUUGAUACAGUCUCACAGAAACCAUGCAUAGCUGACAUGGAACAGGCAUUUGCAAGCAUUCAAAUGGGAAAGAAAAGGCUGAGAUUAGUUUCAAAUUCGAUACUGGACCGCAAGUAAAUGUUAUUCCAACACACACAUUUGACAAGCUCAAGCUAGUUACUUUAAUGUUUGGAUGGCCGUUCAGGGUAUUGGGCAAUAAAGUUGACAGAAGAAUCCUCCAAUCUGACAACAUUUAACACCAUAUUUGGUCACUGCAUGUUUUGUUGGCUUCAAUUUGGCGUAAAUUCUAACACAAAAUCGAUGAGACCUAUGAAGGUCUUUCUGGCAUAACAGCAAUUGUCGAUGACAUUCUGGUCUACAGACAUACCCAAAAAGAGCAGAAUAACAACCUGCAUGCCAUGCUGCAAAGAUCUCGUAAGAAAGGAGUGAAACUGAACCCAGAGAAAAGCACUGUAAGCACCACUGAAGUUCACUACUUUGGACACUGCUUAUCUGCAGAUGGAAUUAAAAAAGGUUUCAGCAAUUGAGCAUAUAGAGCCCCCAAAAAACAAAGUGGACCUUGAAACAGUGCUGGGAAUGGUGAACUACCUGUCCAAGUUUGCGCCCUUUAUGUUGGAGAUCAAUGCACCACUCAAGCAGUCCAGUGAGUUCAUAUGGGAUUCACAGCACGACACUGCAUUCUGCAAAAUGAAAGAUAUAAUAACUAGAGAACCCUGUCCAGUGCUGGCGUACUAUGACCCACAGAAAGAACUUUACCUUCAAGUAGAUACAUCCAAAUAUAGUCUUGGAGCAGUUCUCUUGCAAGACAAUAAGCCACUCAGUUAAGCAUCAAGGACCCUGAAUGAAUCUGAGGUGAGCUAUGCUCAAAUAGAGAAGGAACUCUAUGCAGUCUAGUUUGGUCGCAAGCAUAUCUGUUUUCACCAAUAUGUCUAUGGACGCAGUAUCAUAGUGGAGUCUGAUCACAAGACACUUGAAUCAGAGAUGAAAAAACCCUUCUGCGUCUGCAGAGAAUGAUUCUCCAAUUCCAGAAAUACAACAUCACCUUCACACACCAUCAAGAAGGUCCAUAACAACAAUUAAAUUAAAUUAAAUUAAAUUUAUUUAAAUAGUGCCUUUUACAAUGGACAUUCUCUCAAAGCAGCUUUACAAAAGAAGAGUAACAGAGAAAGAAGAGAAAAAAAUAAUAAUAAAUUAUUAAAUUAAAUAUUAAACUAUUUUAUCCCUAAUGAGCAAGCCUGUGGUGACAGUGGCAAGGAAAAACUCCCUGAGAUGAUAUAAGGGAAGAAAUCUUGAGAGGAACCAGGCUCAGAAGAGAACCCAUCCUCUUUUGGGUGACACUGGGCAGUAAAUAAUGUAACUGUAGCUGAUUAAUGUCCUUUGUAUAACAGCAAUCAAUGGCCCAUGAGGAACUACUAGGUCAGUGUAGUUUCUGAUUAUAGGCAAGAAGUGAAUUAAUUAUUAUUUUAUAAUAAUUAAUUAAUUAUUAUCUAAGUUAAUUAUAGGCACUAAAUCCAUGCUGUCACAAGCUGACAGAUGUAAUGGCAGAUCUCUGACGAUGUGGAAGUUCCGUGGUUCUGUCUUUGGCUGUCUCCUGGGUCACAGGCUGUCCCCAGAGAUCCAUCCACAGCAUCAGUGAGCACCACCACCCGACGAGACUCCGACCAGGGGUAGAGGCAGUGGUCACAAUGGAAACUCAGAACACUGGGAGCUCAGGAGUGGGAUGUAUAGCUUAACAGAAAAAGGCAGAGAGAGAGAAAUAGAAAGAUAUUAAACAGAUCACGACAAUCUCAGCGAAGGUGUGGACCUGCAAGUUCACAUGGUGCACAAGAGCUUACCAGUCAACGACACAAAACUGCAACAAAUCUGUGCUGAGACUGAGAUUGACAGCCAACUGAGCAAACUCAGAAAGGUAAUACUGGAUGUAUGGCCUGAGGAGAUAAGAAAAUGGCCUGCCAGAUUCCUAGAAUUUCCGAGAUGAACUCUCAGCAACCAAUGGAAUCAUUCAAAGGUGAGAAAAUAGUCAUACCCACCUCACUCAGAGAAGAGAUGCUCUGACACAUUCACUUUGGUCAUAUGGGCAUAGAGAAACAGCAGGUACAAGAUGUAUUAUUCUGGCCAGGUAUGUGUAAAUGGAUUGAGCACCCGAUAGAAAGAUGCGGUACUUGCCAAGAAAGACAUUAUUCAAGUGCCAAAGAGCCCCUGAUCCCUUAUGAGGUACCAACCAGACCAUGGCAAGUGGUAGCUUCAGACCUAUCUGGAACAGCAAAGAAUCCAUGAUCACUGUGGACUACUUUAGCCACUUCUCUGAAUUAUCUUCACAAGACAUGGCAUCCCAGAGAAAUUUGUCUCUGACAAUGGCCCACAAUAUCGACGCAAGGAAUUUGAGAACUUUGCGACAGCAUGGGGUUUCACACACAACACCACAAGCUCCUAUUACCCCCAGAGCAACGGUCUGGCUGAGAAGACCAUGCAAAUAACGAAGGCAAUUCUCGCCAAAGCCAAGAUGGACAGAAAAGAUCCCUACCUCAGUCUGCUAGAGUAUAGGAACACACCUGUUGACAACUUCAAGUCACCUGCCCAGCUUCUUUUGAGCUGCAGGCUAGGAUCUAUCUUGCCAAUCACCAACAAGUAGCUCAUGCCUGAAGUCAUCAAUUAUGCAGAGACACACUUCCAGCAUGUAAAGAAACAGCAGCAGCAGAAAAGGUUUUAUGAUUGAUCUGCUCAUCCACUGUCACAGCUUUGCCAAGGACCAUUUGUUCAUAUACAAGAACACAGCCUUUGAAAACCAGCUGAUCCAAGAUGGUGGUGCGGCAGUAGCACGCAGCAGCCACUUCAGAUGAAAAUGGUGCUGUUCCCGUCUUAUAACCCGACUUCUACAGCAUAUUUACACCAGAUACAGCAGUGUCCAUGUGUACGACCACCAGACACUACUAGAAUAUGGAAUUCAUGCUCCAGCCAAUGUGUAUGAUGAUCUGUGUAAAAAAGCUUUGCGAUCACAGCUUGCUGUGGAGACCAGUUAGUUUGGAUCUCCUGCCUUCUUACCGCACGCUGGAGUCUCACAUGUGCCCUUUCCCAGACUUCCUGACUCUUUCUGGACCACUCAUCCACACUAGGGACACACGAGGGUUCACCUGACCAGGGGAAGAGCGGCGGUUGGUAGCUCAGCAUACAUUGGAACGAGGUCAGCCCAGUAGAGGAAUGACAUAGGGAAUUCUUGGCGUAUUCAGCCCAGGGCAGGAACUCACUCCACCUUUGCUGAUAACGGCUGCAGUAAGCAUGGAGAAAUCUCCCAAGCUCCUGGUUUAGGCGUUCCACUUGUCCAUUGGACUGUGGGUGAUAACCAGAACUCAGGCUGACGUUAAUUCCCAGCUGCCGGCAGAACUCUUGCCAGACACAGGACGUGAAUUGUGUUCCACGAUCGGACACAAUGUUUUCCAGCAGGCCAAAAUUUCGGAACUCAUGCUGGAACACCGCCUAAGCAGUCUCCAUGGACAAUGGAAGCCCUUCCAUGGGAACCAGUUUGCAGCCUUUCGAGAACUGGUCGAUAAUGACCAUGACUGUAGUGAAACCAUGGGAUUCUGGAAGGUUAGUCAGGAAGUCUACUGAGAGGUGUGACCAUGGGUGCUGGGGAAUAGGUAAUGGCUCAAGGAGGCCCUCAGGUAGCUGGAGGCUGGUACGUGUUUGAGCAUAUACGGCGCAGGAACGGACGAACUCUUCAACGUCCCGGGAAAGGGAUGACCACCAGAAUCUUUGCCUCAGUAACCGCAUCGUCCCCUGUAUACCUGGGUGCCUGGUGCUGGGGCUUUCAUGAGCCCAUUGGAUCACACGAGUACGAAGAGCCAUGGGAAUGAAUAUUUUGGCUGGUGGACAGUUGGGCGGUGGUGUCUCUGAGCUUUGGGCCUGUUCUAUCUCCUGUAUUAUACUCUAUUGAACAGGGGCUAUGAGGACUGAUGGAGGGAGGAUAGUUUCAGGGUCAGUGGGUUGGUCUGUAGCGUCAUGGACCCUGGAGAGAACAUUAGCUUUACCGUUUUUAGAGCCUGGUCAGUAGGUGACAGAAAACUUGAAUCGGGAGAAGAACAGUGCCCACCUGGCCUGAUGAGGGUUAAGCCACUUGGCUUCUCUGAGAUAUGCAAGGUUGCGAUGGUCCGUGAUUAUAAGGAAUGGGUGGUUGGCUCCCUCAAGCCAGUGCCUCCACUCCUCUAGGGCAGAUUUCAUAUACAGCAGUUCACGAUUACCCAUGUCAUAGUUCACCUCGGUGGGUGUGAGCUUACGUGAAAAGAAUGCACAUGGGUGUACUUUUCCUGAACAGGGUUGUCGUUGGGAUAGAACUGCCCCAAUCCCACUGCUGGAGGCAUCUACCUCUACUAUGAAAGGCAGAUCAGGUCUGGGGUGGCAGAGGAUGGGAGCUUAGGUGAAGCUCUGUUUUAGGCGAUGGAAGGCUUGUUCGGCCUGAUCAUUCCACUUGAGGUGGCAUGGUUUCCCUCUUAACAGAGAUGUGAGGGGGCUUGCAAUGCUGCUGUAGUUUCAUAUAAAUCCCCGCCCCGAGAUAUGACUUACCCCAGGAAAGUCACAGAUGGGCAGUGAAACUCACAUUUCUCCAGCUUGACGUAUAAGUGAUGGUCAACCAGAUGGAGAACAGGUCUAACAUGAGUGAUAUGCAGUUCCAGGUUGGGGGAGUAGAUCAAGAUAUCAUCUAUGUAAGCCAUGACGUAAUGGUGCAGCAUGUCUCUGAAGACCUCGUUGAUGAGGGACUGGAACAUGGCAGGAGUGUUUGUGAGACCGUAAGGCAUUACCAGAUAUUCAUAGUGUCCAUGGGUGGUGUGGAAAGCCGUCUUCCAUUCAUCCCCCUCUCUGAUCCGUAUCAAAUUAUAGGUGCUACGAAGGUCCAGCUUAGUGAAGAAGCUCCCUGAAGUUGUUCAAGGGCUGCAGGCACCAGUGUUAAUGGAUAGGGGUAGGGAACUGUGACAGGGUUCAAUCCACGGUAAUCUAUGCAGGGUCUGAGGCCUCUAUCUUUUUUUUUGACAAAGAAGAACCCUGUGCCGGCGGGAGAUGUGGAAGGAUGGAUAUAACCUGCAUUGAGAGCUUUUUGGAUAUACUCCUCCAUGGCUUGUUUUUCAGGUAUGGAGAGAGAAUAAAUUUUGUUCUUGGGAGGCAUGGCAUUGGGGAAGAGUUCCAUGGCGCAAUCCCAGGGUUCAUGCUAAGGUAGCUUGGUGGCUUUUUCUUUGCUGAACACCUCUCAGAGAUCAGAGUAUUCCCUGGGGAGUGUAGUCAUGGCAACAGCGGGUGGGUUCUCUAUGGAGGUAGAUCUGCACAGAAGUGGAGGGUGAGACAAAAAGCAGUUCUCCAUACAGUGUGCUGACCAUUUCUGAAUGUCCCCCUCUCUCGAGGAGAUCAGCGGGUCAUGGUGUUGUGACCAGGGAAGCCCCAGAAUGAUGGGAUUCGAUGGAGAGGUGAUGAAGAAGAACGAAAUCGCUUCAUGGUGGAAUAAUCCAAUCCACAAAGACACAGAAGUAGUCUGGUAGUGGUUCAGACCCUCUCCAAUCAGCUGGUCAUUAAUGGCAGUGAUUUCAAUGGUGGUGUGCAGGGAAUGAUGGGGAUAUGGAAUUCUUUAACCAGGUUAGGGUCUAUGAGAUUUACGGCGGAGCCAGAGUCAAUUAAAGCUGUGGCAUAGAAGCAGGAAUCACUGACAGACAAACAAACAGGAAGUGAAACCUUGCAUGACAGAGUUCGGGUUUCUACCUUGGCAGUGGUUGGUUUUUCAGGGCAUAAAUACACCCUGUCAGCAACCCACACAUUCCACUAAAUAAAA